rnacentral:sRNA from 1 species
UAGUUCAACCGCUAAAACUGGCGGAAAACUGUAAAAUCUAGGGACCGAUUGACGACUGUAGAGACUUUUGGUGUAAGAAUUUUGACUGCAAAAGUUUUAAUUGUUAAAAUCUGCUUUUUCUGUUUUUUGGUCAACCGAUAUAAAUUAGAACUCAAAAGAGCCAAUCAUGUGGAAUAUUGUUUACAUAUGUGACAAGAUGCGGUUGGGAACGAAUCUUUCGUGCCAACUUAUCCGCUUUUACAUUUACACUACGAGAAAUUAAAGAUAAAGAGAAGUUUGUGAAUUCUUCCUUGUCGUUCUGCAACUCCUCCAAAUACACUGAAAAUGCCGGUCUUUUGGUUGGGGAAGACACCAUCUUCACCAAAUCUGAAGAGUCUGUAAAGAAAGCUACGUCCUGGUUGUAUGUUCCAAUCAUGCAUUUCAUCGCCCAAAAAAAAGCUUCCACUUCGGUAUGUAGAGGAGAUAGACUUCAACGAACGUUGGCGGCUCCCAUGGUUGGCGACUAACCAAAAAAUGAUAGGCAGAACCAUCAUGUUCCUGAGAACUGGUCACUUGCUUUCCAAGAUCCAUCAAUAAAACACUGAAAUCCGGAAAAAGUUGUAUCUUGUGAUACAUCCUUCACCCGAAUUCUAGUAUCUAAGAACAAAGAGCCAUGACUUUCAUUAUGGAGUUCGACUUGAGCCUCCUGCUAUGAUUGUGCCUCUUUUACCGCUAAGAGUAAAAUUUCCAUUGGAUCUUUCUCCACAUUUUCAAAAACUUUUUCAUUUCUUUU